UUCUACUGUAUGGACCACCUGGGACUGGGAAAACGCUAUAGGCCAGAGCAGUAGCUCAUCAUACUGAUUGUACUUUCAUAAGGGUUUCUGGUUCUGAGUUGGUUCAAAAGUAUAUUGGGGAGUGAUCCCGUAUGGUCAUGGAACUUUUUGUCAUGGCCAGGUAUUCAGCAAGGAUAAUAGAGUAACUCUAGGAAGGAAGGAGUUGAUUAAAAACACUCUUAGGAAAGCUGCACAUGCCUGGAAAAAGUUGGGAGAGCUUCGUCUUACUGGUAUUUUGAAGGAUAA